rnacentral:rRNA from 1 species
CCAAUAGCGUACAUUAAAGUUGUUGCAGUUAAAAAGCUCGUAGUUGAAUUUCGAGAUCAAUAUGUCGGUCGUGCUUAGGUACGUACUGGCAUUAUUGAUUUCUCCUUUCUGAUGAACCAUAAUGCCAUUAAUUUGGUGUUAUGGGGAAUCAGGACUGUUACCUUGAAAAAAUUAGAGUGUUUAAAGCAGGCUCACGCUUGAAUACAUUACCAUGGAAUACUGAAAUAGGCAGUUUGAUUCUAUUUUGUUGGUUUCUAGGAUCGACGUAAUGAUUAAUAGGGAUAGUUGGGGGCAUUAGUAUUCAAUUGUCAGAGGUGAAAUUCUUGGAUUUAUUGAAGACUAACUACUGCGAAAGCAUUUGCCAAGGAUGUUUUCAUUAAUCAAGAACGAAAGUUAGGGGAUCGAAGACGAUCAGAUACCGUCGUAGUCUUAACCAUAAACUAUGCCGACUAGGGAUCGGAUGAUGUUAAUUUUUUAAUGACUCAUUCGGCGCCUUACG